AGCGAACGCUGGCGGCAGGCCUAACACAUGCAAGUCGAGCGCCCGUAGCAAUACGGGAGCGGCAGACGGGAUAGUAACACGUGGGAACGUACCUUUCAGUUCGGAACAACCCAGGGAAACUUGGGCUAAUACCGAAUACGCCCGUAAGGGGAAAGAUUUAUCGCUGAAAGAUCGGCCCGCGUCUGAUUAGCUAGUUGGGG
rnacentral:rRNA from 1 species